GAUGAACGCUAGCGGGAGGCCUAACACAUGCAAGCCGAGCGGUAUUUGUUCUUCGGAACAGAGAGAGCGGCGCACGGGUGCGGAACACGUGUGCAACCUGCCUUUAUCUGGGGGAUAGCCUUUCGAAAGGAAGAUUAAUACCCCAUAAUAUAUUGAGUGGCAUCACUUGAUAUUGAAAACUCCGGUGGAUAGAGAUGGGCACGCGCAAGAUUAGAUAGUUGGUGAGGUAACGGCUCACCAAGUCAAUGAUCUUUAGGGGGCCUGAGAGGGUGACCCCCCACACUGGUACUGAGACACGGACCAGACUCCUACGGGAGGCAGCAGUGAGGAAUAUUGGACAAUGGGUUAGCGCCUGAUCCAGCCAUCCCGCGUGAAGGACGACGGCCCUACGGGUUGUAAACUUCUUUUGUAUAGGGAUAAACCUACUCUCGUGAGAGUAGCUGAAGGUACUAUACGAAUAAGCGCCGGCUAACUCCGUG
rnacentral:rRNA from 1 species